AGUGAACGCUGGCGGUAGGCCUAACACAUGCAAGUCGAACGGCAGCACAGUAAGAGCUUGCUCUUACGGGUGGCGAGUGGCGGACGGGUGAGGAAUACAUCGGAAUCUACUUUUUCGUGGGGGAUAACGUAGGGAAACUUACGCUAAUACCGCAUACGACCUACGGGUGAAAGCAGGGGAUCUUCGGACCUUGCGCGAUUGAAUGAGCCGAUGUCGGAUUAGCUAGUUGGCGGGGUAAAGGCCCACCAAGGGGACGAUCCGUAGCUGGUCUGAGAGGAUGAUCAGCCACACUGGAACUGAGACACGGUCCAGACUCCUACGGGAGGCAGCAGUGGGGAAUAUUGGACAAUGGGCGCAAGCCUGAUCCAGCCAUACCGCGUGGGUGAGGAAGGCCUUCGGGUUGUAAAGCCCUUUUGUUGGGAAAGAAAAGCAGCAGGUUAAUACCCCGCUGUUCUGACGGUACCCAAAGAAUAAGCACCGGCUAACUUCGUG
rnacentral:rRNA from 1 species